rnacentral:rRNA from 1 species
UACAGAGGUCUCAAGCGUUGUUCGGAUUCAUUGGGCGUAAAGGGUGCGUAGGUGGCGAGGUAAGUCAGGUGUGAAAUUUCGGAGCUUAACUCCGAAACUGCAUUUGAUACUGCCUUGCUUGAGGACUGGAGAGGAGACUGGAAUUCACGGUGUAGCAGUGAAAUGCGUAGAGAUCGUGAGGAAGACCAGUGGCGAAGGCGGGUCUCUGGACAGUUCCUGACACUGAGGCACGAAGGCCAGGGGAGCAAACGGG